GACGAACGCUGGCGGCGUGCUUAACACAUGCAAGUCGAACGGAAAGGCCCUGCUUUUGUGGGGUGCUCGAGUGGCGAACGGGUGAGUAACACGUGAGGAACCUGCCCUUGACUGUGGGAUAACUUCAGGAAACUGGGGCUAAUACCGGAUAGGAGCUCCUGCUGCAUGGUGGGGGUUGGAAAGUUUCGGCGGUGGGGGAUGGACUCGCGGCUUAUCAGCUUGUUGGUGGGGUAGUGGCUUACCAAGGCUUUGACGGGUAGCCGGCCUGAGAGGGUGACCGGCCACAUUGGGCCUGAGAUACGGCCCAGACUCCUACGGGAGGCAGCAGUGGGGAAUAUUGCACAAUGGGCGGAAGCCUGAUGCAGCAACGCCGCGUGCGGGAUGACGGCCUUCGGGUUGUAAACCGCUUUCGCCUGUGACGAAGCGUGAGUGACGGUAAUGGGUAAAGAAGCACCGGCUAACUACGUG
rnacentral:rRNA from 1 species